rnacentral:rRNA from 1 species
GUCCACGCCCUAAACGAUGAAUACUCGUUGUUGGCGAUAUACAGUCAGCGACUAAGCGAAAGCGUUAAGUAUUCCACCUGGGGAGUACGUUCGCAAGAAUGAAACUCAAAGAAAUUGGCGGGGGUCCGCACAAGCGGUGGAUUAUGUGGUUUAAUUCGAUGAUACGCGAGGAACCUUACCAGGGCUAGAAUGGGAGGAGAAUAUAGGUGAAAGCUUAUAAGCUAGCAAUAGCUGCUUCCAAAGGUGCUGCAUGGUUGUCGU